CCGAGUUUACAACUCCCAAACCCAAUGUGAACGUUACCAAACUGUUGCCUCGGCGGGAUCUCUGCCCCGGGCGCGUCGCAGCCCCGGACCAAGGCGCCCGCCGGAGGAACCAACCAAAACUCUUAUUGUAUACCCCCUCGCGGGUUUUUUUUACUAUCUGAGCCAUCUCGGCGCCCCUCGCGGGCGUUUCGAAAAUGAAUCA
rnacentral:misc_RNA from 1 species